ACCUAAGGGAAGUAUCUUGUAAUGUG
rnacentral:piRNA from 1 species